AACACCAGUGGCGAAGGCGGCCUACUGGGCACCAACUGACGCUGAGGCUCGAAAGUGUGGGUAGCAAACAGGAUUAGAUACCCUGGUAGUCCACACCGUAAACGAUGAUUACUAGGUGUUGGAGGAUUGACCCCUUCAGUGCCGCAGUUAACACAAUAAGUAAUCCACCUGGGGAGUACGACCGCAAGGUUGAAACUCAAAGGAAUUGACGGGGGCCCGCACAAGCAGUGGAGUAUGUGGUUUAAUUCGACGCAACGCGAAGAACCUUACCAAGUCUUGACAUCCUGCGACGCACAUAGAAAUAUGUGUUUCCUUCGGGACGCAGAGACAGGUGGUGCAUGGUUGUCGUCAGCUCGUGUCGUGAGAUGUUGGGUUAAGUCCCGCAACGAGCGCAACCCUUGCUAUUAGUUGCUACGCAAGAGCACUCUAAUAGGACUGCCGUUGACAAAACGGAGGAAGGUGGGGACGACGUCAAAUCAUCAUGCCCCUUAUGACCUGGGCUACACACGUACUACAAUGGAUGUAAACAGAGGGAAGCAAGACAGUGAUGUGGAGCAAACCCCUAAAAACAUUCUCAGUUCAGAUUGCAGGCUGCAACCCGCCUGCAUGAAGAUGGAAUUGCUAGUAAUCGCGGAUCAGCAUGCCGCGGUGAAUACGUUCCCGGGCCUUGUACACACCGCCCGUCACACCAUGGGAGCCGGUAAUACCCGAAGUCAGUAGUCCAACCUCGUGAGGACGCUGCCGAAGGUAGGAUUGGCGACUGGGGUGAAGUCGUAACAAGGUAGCCGUAUCGGAAGGUGCGGCUG
rnacentral:rRNA from 1 species